CUCUAAGGAAAGAUAUGAAAUCACCACUUGACAUCAAAGCAACUUGAAUUACCAUACCCCAAAAAACAAAGGACAAGGCUUAUGAAACAAGCAAGAACAAAUUCAUGACACAUAUUUCGUUCGAUAUUUCUGUGGAUAGGAUCACACGGGCUCUAUGCUACAGUAGCCAUAAUGUACAAGGCAGUGCACACAACAUACAAAGCGUCCCCGACUCGUAGCAAGCUACAAGGACUCUUUAAGACAC
rnacentral:lncRNA from 1 species